rnacentral:rRNA from 1 species
AUGUACAUUCCUACAACAUAGCGUUAAUGCAUCGGAUCCCAUUAGAACUAUGAAAUUAAGCACACUCGGGAUAGAGUAGUAUCGGAAUGGGUGACCACCCAGGAAGUCCUAGUGUUUUACAUG